AGCGAACGCUGGCGGCAGGCCUAACACAUGCAAGUCGAACGAACUCUUCGGAGUUAGUGGCGGACGGGUGAGUAACACGUGGGAACGUGCCUUUUGGUUCGGAAUAACUCAGGGAAACUUGUGCUAAUACCGAAUGUGCCCUUCGGGGGAAAGAUUUAUCGCCAUUAGAGCGGCCCGCGUCUGAUUAGCUAGUUGGUGAGGUAACGGCUCACCAAGGCGACGAUCAGUAGCUGGUCUGAGAGGAUGCCCAGCCACACUGGGACUGAGACACGGCCCAGACUCCUACGGGAGGCAGCAGUGGGGAAUCUUGCGCAAUGGGCGAGAGCCUGACGCAGCCAUGCCGCGUGAAUGAUGAAGGUCUUAGGAUUGUAAAAUUCUUUCACCGGGGACGAUAAUGACGGUACCCGGAGAAGAAGCCCCGGCUAACUUCGUG
rnacentral:rRNA from 1 species